UUAAGUUCAGCGGGUAUUCCUACCUGAUCCGAGGUCAACCUUGGUGGGGUCGGUCUUUGCAGACCUGGUUUUACGGCCGGAAAGCUCCUCCGCGGGCCUCCUGAGCGAGAUAUUUUACUACUGCGCUCGGAGCCGCGGCGGGUCCGCCACUGUCUCUGGGGGCCUCCCGCGAGGGAGAUGCCCCGACGCCAGGCACCAGG
rnacentral:misc_RNA from 1 species